rnacentral:rRNA from 1 species
UACAGAGGGGGCAAGCGUUGUUCGGAAUUACUGGGCGUAAAGGGCGCGUAGGCGGCCAACUAAGUCGGACGUGAAAUCCCAAGGCUCAACCUUGGAACUGCGUCCGAUACUGGAUGGCUUGAAUCCGGGAGAGGGAUGUGGAAUUCCAGGUGUAGCGGUGAAAUGCGUAGAUAUCUGGAGGAACACCGGUGGCGAAGGCGGCAUCCUGGACCGGUAUUGACGCUGAUGCGCGAAAGCCAGGGGAGCAAACGGG